rnacentral:rRNA from 1 species
CGAAAGCCUGUCCCAGUUCGGACUGGAGUCUGCAACCCGACUCCACGAAAGUUGGAUUCGCUAGUAAUCGCGCAUCAGCCAUGGCGCGGUGAAUACGUUCCCGGGCCUUGUACACACCGCCCGUCAAGCCAUGGGAGCCGGGGGCGCCUGAAGUCCGGGACCGCGAGGACCGGCCUAGGGCGAAACUGGUAACUGGGGCUAAGUCGUAACAAGGUAUC